rnacentral:rRNA from 1 species
UGGGGAAUAUUGCGCAAUGGACGAAAGUCUGACGCAGCAACGCCGCGUGAGGGAUGAAGUACAUCGAGAUGUAAACCUCUUUCAGCAGGGACGAAGCGAAAGUGACGGUACCUGCAGAAGAAGCGCCGGCUAACUACGUGCCAGCAGCCGCGGUAAUACGUAGGGCGCAAGCGUUGUCCGGAUUUAUUGGGCGUAAAGGGCUCGUAGGCGGUCUGUCGCGUCGGAUGUGAAAACUCGGAGCUUAACUCCGGGCCUGCAUUCGAUACGGGCAGACUAGAGUUCGGUAGGGGAGACUGGAACUCCUGGUGUAGCGGUGGAAUGCGCAGAUAUCAGGAAGAACACCGAUGGCGAAGGCAGGUCUCUGGGCCGAUACUGACGCUGAGGAGCGAAAGCGUGGGGAGCAAACAGG